UGUAGACCGGAGCUGUUCCUAUUCGGCCAUCUUGGCUCCUCCAGGAAGCCCACAGGACCCGUCUCUGCUGAUGGACUUUGCAAGUGGAAUGUGCUAUCAUCCACAGAGACACAGGCCUGCAUAGACACCUCGCCAGUGCCCUGUGCAGAGACAGAUGGACAAUAGGAUUCCCAGACAAGCAAAAGAGGUUUCCCUCCCUUACUUCUCCCAGGCCAUCCUCAUCUCUGCAGCAGCCCAAAUGGGCUCCCUGUCUCCUCAUGGCAGAUAAAACGAUGUUUUAUAAUUACGAUCCUGUCACUCUUCCUCAUAGGAGUGCCGCCAACCCAUUGCCCUUGAGAUGGAGACCACCUCUUUGGUAUUGCAAAGAAGGUCCUUCGUAAUCAUCUAUCCCUCAUCCUCACCCUUCUGCUCCAUUUGAAAGGCCCUCCAGAACAACAUGUCAUUCCUGGGAACCAUCUUUGGUAUUGCAAAGAAGGUUCUUCAUGAUCAUCGUCCCCCAUCCUCACCCUCCUGCUUCAUUUGAAAGGCCCUCCAGAACAAUGUGUCACUACCAGAAACCAUUCGCUAUCUCUGUUCCUUGUUUGUAUUUCUGCACUGGAAAUGGCCUUACAGCUCCACACUCAUCCUUCAGACAUGCAGCUCCUUGGUGACCCCAUCUGCUGGGUGCUGGCCUAUGUCACAUCCAGGUUGCUUUUUAUUCAUUGUCUCAUCUACCAGCCCAUGCCUCCCCAAGGGCAGGGCUGGUCCUGGUUCACUAACCCAUCCCCAGCACCCAUUGGAAUGCUCUAGACUUCAGCCCAGUGAGUCACUAAGAAAGGACAGAUACCUUGGCAGAAGAGCUGAGGAAAGCCCAGGUCCCUGUCUUCAGGCCAAGGCUCUCUUCCCAUUUGACCAACCCUGGCAUAUGUG
rnacentral:lncRNA from 10 species